rnacentral:rRNA from 1 species
GACGAACCGUGCGAACGUUAUUCGGAAUCACUGGGCUUAAAGCGCGUGUAGGCGGGCCGCCGCGUCGGCUGCUGAAAUCCCCGGCUCAACCGGGAACGGGCACCGAUACGGGCGGCCUCGAGGGAGGUAGGGCAUGUGGAACUUCCGGUGGAGCGGUGAAAUGCGUAGAUAUCGGAAGGAACGCCGGUGGCGAAAGCGACGUGCUGGACCUCUUCUGACGCUGGAGGCGCGAAAGCCUAGGGGAGCAAACGGG